rnacentral:rRNA from 1 species
GACGAAGGCCGAGCGUACGUUGUGAUUUACUGGGCGUAAAGGGUGCGUAGGCGGGUCUUUUAAGUCAGGGGUGAAAUCCUGGAGCUCAACUCCAGAACUGCCUUUGAUACUGAAGAUCUUGAGUUCGGGAGAGGUGAGUGGAACUGCGAGUGUAGAGGUGAAAUUCGUAGAUAUUCGCAAGAACACCAGUGGCGAAGGCGGCUCACUGGCCCGAUACUGACGCUGAGGCACGAAAGCGUGGGGAGCAAACAGG